GACGAACCGUGCGAACGUUAUUCGGAAUCACUGGGCUUAAAGCGCGUGUAGGCGGGCCGGCACGUCGGCGGCUGAAAUCCCCCGGCUCAACCGGGGAACGGGCCCCGAUACGACCGGCCUGGAGGGGGGUAGGGGGAGCUGGAACUUCCGGUGGAGCGGUGAAAUGCGUUGAGAUCGGAAGGAACGCCCGCGGCGAAAGCGAGCUCCUGGACCCCACCUGACGCUGAGACGCGAAAGCCAGGGGAGCGAACGGG
rnacentral:rRNA from 1 species